rnacentral:rRNA from 1 species
CCUACGGGAGGUAGCAGUGAGGAAUAUUGGUCAAUGGACGAGAGUCUGAACCAGCCAAGUAGCGUGAAGGAUGACUGCCCUAUGGGUUGUAAACUUCUUUUAUAUGGGAAUAAAGUGUUCCACGUGUGGGAUUUUGUAUGUACCAUAUGAAUAAGGAUCGGCUAACUCCGUGCCAGCAGCCGCGGUAAUACGGAGGAUCCGAGCGUUAUCCGGAUUUAUUGGGUUUAAAGGGAGCGUAGGUGGAUUGUUAAGUCAGUUGUGAAAGUUUGCGGCUCAACCGUAAAAUUGCAGUUGAGACUGGCAGUCUUGAGUACAGUUGAGGUGGGCGGAAUUCGUGGUGGAGCGGUGAAAUGCUUAGAUAUCAAGAAGAAUUCCGAUUGCGAAGGCAGUUUACUAAACUGCAACUGACAUUGAUGCUCGAAAGUGUGGGUAUCAAACAGGAUUAGAUACCCGAGUAGUC